rnacentral:rRNA from 1 species
AUUAAACGCUGGCGGCAUGCCUUACACAUGCAAGUCGAACGGCAGCACGGGGGCAACCUUAGUGGCGAGUGGCGAACGGGUGAGUAAAGCAUCGGAACGUGCCCUGGAGUGGGGGAUAACGUAGCGAAAGUUACGCUAAUACCGCAUAUUCUGUGAGCAGGAAAGCAGGGGAUCGCAAGACCUUGCGCUCUGGGAGCGGCCGAUGUCGGAUUAGCUAGUUGGUGGGUAAAGGCCUACCAAGGCGACGAUCCGUAGCGGGUCUGAGAGGAUGAUCCGCCACACUGGGACUGAGACACGGCCCAGACUCCUACGGGAGGCAGCAGUGGGGAAUUUUGGACAAUGGGCGCAAGCCUGAUCCAGCCAUGCCGCGUGAGUGAAGAA